AGCUGCAGUUGAGACAGAAGAUUCAGGAAGCUGCAAUAUCAACCUGUUGAAGAUGAAUGUAGGCACAAAGCUGCCCUGGAAAUGUUUAAGCGCUUCAGACAAAUGAAGCGAGACAAACUUAUUCAACAUUGGAGUGUUGUGAGGCAUAAAACUAAGAAGAAUGGAGAGCAAAGGGCACAUUUGGUCAUUCACCUCAAUUGAGGGGAGAAAAGGAUGCUGGUAAAAGUGGCAAGCAUGCAUGUCCUCUACUACUCAAGGACUGUCAUUCAAGCAGAGGACACUGCAAAGGUCUGAAUGAUCAACUGAGAGCCACUUACAGCUACAGUGCUCUACUAAGUGCUCUACAUCCUGCAUACAUCUCUCGAGUACCAGUUCAAUGUUAAGGCUGACACUAGAGAAUCUGAAGCACCCAGGAGCUGCACUCUCCAUCUCUGAGAUGAAGAAAUGUAAAUACAGAGCAUCAAAGUACAGUUUUCAAGCUUCUACAGUAAGUGCCAGAGGUA